GGGAAAUGUCUCAAUCUGAUAAGUUCAUCUACUGCUUUUUACUUUAAGGUGCCAUAAUUAGCAGCAUUCAAUUGCUUGUUCCAUAUUCUUUCUCCUUCUUAUAACAGUGGACCAGACACAGCUAGACAUAUAUAAUAAAAGAAAAAACCUGAACUUUUGUCCUAGGCGUCGAGAAGGAAAAACCAUGUUUUAGUUUGAUUAACUGCAAACCCCACACUGGUGACUGAUCCAAUGCUAAUUACUUUGGUUAAAUACUGAAGCUGCAUAGAUGUUAAGAGAAAAGAUAUAUAAUUACUAAUUAAACAGUAGAUAGUCACAACAAAGAAGCUGAUUUAAACACAGGGGAAAUCAAAUCAGCCACUAUCAAACUAGAAACCUAAACACCAAGUAGAUGACAUAACAACUAGAGCAACACCCACUGAAACCAACAGCAGACAAACUCCCCAAAGCGGUGCACGAGCCAGCCAAACCAAAGCACCAAUUUAUUCUUAUGCCACUAGUUCAAGCUGCUGGCUUCCACAGAAACCUCUCACUUGAUGCUGCAACACACAGAACUUGGUUAAGAACAUAAUAAUGUACCUAAUCAUAAUGAAAAUAUAAUCUAAUUUCAUAAAAAUGACUGGAUUUUUUUUCAUACCUUUUGCAGUCAGUAGAAGGAGAGAUCUUGUAAGGAAUAUUGACCCCACACUUGCCAGGAAGGCCAGCGGCAAGCCCAGCAUUUGCAUUGGUGUAAGGGAUGCCAUUGACGGCUUGCUUCAAGCAGUUGCAGAUGCUCUGGCGGUCAGCUGUGGUCUGAGCCAAGCUGUAGAGAGACCUGACCCCAGUGCAGCAACUAGGGUUCAAAGCCCCACCGUUUGCCACGUAGUUUAUGCAUGGGGUCAGAUUGUUCACCACCUGGCCGCAUGACACAGCUGCCAUGGCCUUGGGACCACCAACCGCCAUGCAGCACAUCACCGCCACAAGGCAAACGAGCUUGAGGAGCUGUCCAGAGCUAGCCAUAACGACGUCGUAAGUAAAGCUGAUAUAUUAUCUCUUUUGAAACUAACUUUUGCUCUAGUAUUUGGGGACAGAUAAUGGUGGCUAU
rnacentral:lncRNA from 1 species